CUGCUUACCAUGCAGUCGAACGGAGAUAUUGGAGGAAGCUUGCGAAUCCAGUAUUUUAGUGGCGGACGGGUGAGUAACGCGUGGGUAACCUGCCCUAAGGACCGGGACAACAGUUGGAAACGACUGCUAAUACCGGAUGUGCUCGUCGGGAGACAUCUCCUGACGAGGAAAGGUGGCCUCUGAAUAUGCUACCGCUUUAGGAUGGACCCGCGUCUGAUUAGCUAGUUGGCGAGGUAACGGCUCACCAAGGCGACGAUCAGUAGCCGGCCUGAGAGGGUGAUCGGCCACACUGGGACUGAGACACGGCCCAGACUCCUACGGGAGGCAGCAGUGGGGAAUCUUCCGCAAUGGGCGAAAGCCUGACGGAGCAACGCCGCGUGAAUGAAUAAGGCUUUCGGGUCGUAAAGUUCUGUCUUUAGGGAAGAAGUCUCUGUGUGUAAAUAAUGCAUAGAGGUGACGGUACCUGAGGAGGAAGCUCCGGCUAACUACGUGCCAGCAGCCGCGGUAAUACGUAGGGAGCAAGCGUUGUCCGGAAUUACUGGGCGUAAAGGGCGCGUAGGCGGGAUCUUAAGUUAGAUGUGAAAACUCUGGGCUCAACCCGGAGACUGCAUUUAAAACUGGGAUUCUUGAGGGCAGGAGAGGAAAGUGGAAUUCCUAGUGUAGCGGUGAAAUGCGUAGAUAUUAGGAGGAACCCCAGUGGCGAAGGCGACUUUCUGGACUGUACCUGACGCUGAGGCGCGA
rnacentral:rRNA from 1 species